AACGAACGCUGGCGGCAUGCCUAACACAUGCAAGUCGAACGAGACCUUCGGGUCUAGUGGCGCACGGGUGCGUAACGCGUGGGAACCUGCCCUUAGGUUCGGAAUAACUCCCCGAAAGGGGUGCUAAUACCGGAUAAUGUCUUCGGACCAAAGAUUUAUCGUCUUUGGAUGGGCCCGCGUUGGUUUAGCUAGUUGGUAGGGUAAAAGCCUACCACGGCGACGAUCCAUAGCUGGUCUGAGAGGAUGAUCAGCCACACUGGGACUGAGACACGGCCCAGACUCCUACGGGAGGCAGCAGUGGGGAAUAUUGGACAAUGGGCGAAAGCCUGAUCCAGCAAUGCCUCGUGAGUGAUGAAGGCCUUAGGGUUGUAAAGCUCUUUUACCCGGGAUGAUAAUGACAGUACCGGGAGAAUAAGCACCGGCUAACUCCGUG
rnacentral:rRNA from 1 species